rnacentral:rRNA from 1 species
UACGAAGGGGGCUAGCGUUGCUCGGAAUCACUGGGCGUAAAGCGCACGUAGGCGGCUUUUUAAGUCAGGGGUGAAAUCCUGGAGCUCAACUCCAGAACUGCCUUUAAUACUGAGAAGCUUGAGUCCGGGAGAGGUGAGUGGAACUGCGAGUGUAGAGGUGAAAUUCGUAGAUAUUCGCAAGAACACCAGUGGCGAAGGCGGCUCACUGGCCCGGUACUGACGCUGAGGUGCGAAAGCGUGGGGAGCAAACGGGG